rnacentral:rRNA from 1 species
UACGUAGGGUGCAAGCGUUGUCCGGAAUUAUUGGGCGUAAAGAGCUCGUAGGCGGCUUGUCACGUCGACUGUGAAAACCCGGGGCUCAACUCCGGGCCUGCAGUCGAUACGGGCUGGCUUGAGUGCGGUAGGGGAGACUGGAAUUCCUGGUGUAGCGGUGAAAUGCGCAGAUAUCAGGAGGAACACCGGUGGCGAAGGCGGAUCUCUGGGCCGAUACUGACGCUGAGGAGCGAAAGCGUGGGGAGCGAACAGG